CGGCGGACGGGUGAGUAACACGUGGAUAACCUACCUAUAAGACUGGGAUAACUUCGGGAAACCGGAGCUAAUACCGGAUAAUAUAUUGAACCGCAUGGUUCAAUAGUGAAAGACGGUUUUGCUGUCACUUAUAGAUGGAUCCGCGCCGCAUUAGCUAGUUGGUAAGGUAACGGCUUACCAAGGUAACGAUGCGUAGCCGACCUGAGAGGGUGAUCGGCCACACUGGAACUGAGACACGGUCCAG
rnacentral:rRNA from 1 species